GCUGGGCGCGGUGGCGCACGCCUGUAGUCCCAGCUACUCGGAAGGCUGAGACAGGAGGAUCGCUUGAGUCCAGGAGUUCUGGGCUGUAGUGCGCUAUGCCGAUCGGGUGUCCGCACUAAGUUCGGCAUCAAUAUGGUGACCUCCCGGGAGCGGGGGACCACCAGGUUGCCUAAGGAGGGGUGAACCGGCCCAGGUCAUAUUUCAAUUUAAAUUAUUGAGUACAUCAUAAGCAAACAUACCUGAAUUUAAAAAAAAAAGAAAGGA
rnacentral:sRNA from 1 species